CAGCUCCGAAAUGAUAAAAGAGUUGUUUUGGGGGGUUCCUGGAUUACAUCUCACCAGCCUACCAGCCUGUUUUUCGGAGAAGACGCGCAGGCAGAAGUCUCCAUCCUUGUUGGGUUCGUAGGUGGAAGGGACGACGAGGUAUUCCCCAGCCGGCAGACAGAAUCGGGUGCUAACCUCACGCAGGUUAAUGAAGGUUUCAGAUCGAGCCUUCUGAGCGUGGGUCAGGAAGAAAUUCUUAUCCAGGUGAACGUUCAUCUGACCCUGGAACUGUGGAACACCAGAGAACCAAUCAGAAUGCAGGACGGGAACACAGAAAUGUGCAGCAACAGAAAAAAGUCAGCAAGUAAAUCAAGCUGCCCUGGAAUAGACUAACCAAGAGAGUCAACUGCCCAGGGAAUCAACUGAACAAGGAAAUCGACUGAUCAAGAAAAUUGAGUGAACAAGAAAAUCAAAUGACCAAAGACAUCAACUAACCCAGGGAACUGACUGACCAAGAAAAGCAACUAACCCAGGGAUUUGACUGUCCAAGGCAGUCGACUGACCAGUAAAUCACCUGAACAAGGAAAUAGAGUGACUAAGGGAAUCGAGUGAACAAGAAAACUGACUGACCAAGAGAAUGAACUGACCAGGGCAUCAACUGAAAGAGGAAAUCAACUGACCAAGGGAAUCGACUAAUCAAGAAAAUCAACUGAACAAGGGAAUCAACUAACUCCAGGAAUCGACUAACCAAGGAAAUCAAUUGAACAAGGGAAUCGACUGAUUCCAGGAAUCAACUGACUCAAUCGACUGACCCAGGAAAUCAACUAAACAAGGGAAUCAACUGACUUGUGUAUUUUAGAUAACCUAAACAACAUUUUAGAUGAAAUGAUAACAUGAUGUUACUGAGGUGUUCUGAGUGUGUUACCUGAGAAGGAACCUGUGGGAACAGGAAAGAGAAAAAAGGUUGUUAGACACAAGAAAUUUCUAAUAUUUAAUUAAAGUUUACAUAUUUAAUAAGUUGAAUCACAUGUAUUUAUAACCUGGUAUAACAUGUCAAUGCUAAUCACUUCCUGGCUGUAUUACACAUUCAUGAAUAAAUGUGAUGCUUUAUAA